GCAGGGUAGCAGGCAUUGGGGGCUGUGGAAUGAGGUAGUAGUUUGUAUAGUUUGGGAUCACACCAGAUCUGGGAGAUAACUAUACAGCCUACUGUCUUUCUCACAGCUGCUCCUUCACAUCAGACCCUCCA
rnacentral:pre_miRNA from 8 species